AGAGUUUGAUCCUGGCUCAGGACGAACGCUGGCGGCGUGCUUAAUACAUGCAAGUCGAGCGAGGUUACUGCGACAGAUCCCUUCGGGGUGAAGUUGCUUUAGCCUAGCGGCGGACGGGUGAGUAACGCGUGGGUAACCUACCCUAAAGUUCGGGAUAACAGCGGGAAACCGCUGCUAAUACCGGAUGCCUUUACCAUGUGGCAUCACAAGGUAAAGAAAGGUGACGCUUUAGGAUGGGCCCGCGUCCCAUUAGCUAGUUGGUGAGGUAACAGCUCACCAAGGCGACGAUGGGUAGCCGGCCUGAGAGGGUGGACGGCCACACUGGGACUGAGACACGGCCCAGACUCCUACGGGAGGCAGCAGUAGGGAAUAUUGCGCAAUGGACGGAAGUCUGACGCAGCGACGCCGCGUGAGCGAUGAAGGCCUUCGGGUUGUAAAGCUCUGUCCUUGGGGAAGAAGGUCUUCGGACUUGACGGUACCCAAGAAGAAAGCCCCGGCUAACUACGUGCCAGCAGCCGCGGUAAU
rnacentral:rRNA from 1 species